rnacentral:rRNA from 1 species
GGGGUGCUCGAGUGGCGAACGGGUGAGUAACACGUGAGUAACCUGCCCUUGACUUUGGGAUAACUUCAGGAAACUGGGGCUAAUACCGGAUAGGAGCUCCUGCUGCAUGGUGGGGGUUGGAAAGUUUCGGCGGUUGGGGAUGGACUCGCGGCUUAUCAGCUUGUUGGUGGGGUAGUGGCUUACCAAGGCUUUGACGGGUAGCCGGCCUGAGAGGGUGACCGGCCACAUUGGGACUAAGAUACGGCCCAG